UACGUAGGGGGCAAGCGUUGUUCGGAAUUACUGGGCGUAAAGGGCGCGUAGGCGGCCGGGCAAGUCGGGUGUGAAAGCCCGGGGCUCAACCCCGGAAUGGCUCUCGAGACUGCGAGGCUCGAGUGCGGAAGAGGCAACUGGAAUUCCAAGUGUAGCGGUGAAAUGCGUAGAGAUUUGGAGGAACACCAGUGGCGAAGGCGACUUUCUGGUCUGUAACUGACGCUGAGGCGCGAAAGCGUGGGGAGCAAACAGG
rnacentral:rRNA from 1 species